CUGUGAGCACCCAGCGCCUCCAUCUUGAUGCCUCUGAGGGAACGCAGCGAGUGAUGGCUCCAGGAAACAACCCACAGCAGCAUUACUUCUGGUGCAGUGUGGUAAAUACAUGGAGCAGCUCUGGAGCUUUGUCGCAGUAAUUAUCUACCUAGUGGGCGUGCCACAGACUGACUUUUAUUUAGAAAGCAGGUUUUGACUGAAGAAGUAAAACCAGAAGGAAGUGCUUUUUGGAGAGCAAUCCUGGAAUUAUUUCAGCACUUCCUUCUGCCUGUGCUCACCUCCACUGUGAGCUGCUGAGGGUUCCUGCAGCCGUGGAAGCAACGUGCAGACAGGAAUCUCCAAUGGAAGACACAGGCCAAAGAUUUUGUGCCUGUCUGCUUCAGUGUAAAGGCUGCAGCCCUUGAGAACCACCAGUGUGAAAUACAGGACCUUGAACUACACAUCUGCCAUAGAGCAGUCAGCAGCAGUAGCCCGUCAAUGUACAGAACGUUUAAACCAGAGGACCAGAAGGAACAGCAGCACGCAGCCCUGAGCUUCCUACCAGCCUUAUUCCCCACCUCGCCAGGACAGAAUUUGAAGCUCAGUACACCACCAAUUUGAGAAGUCCAUUAUUACCACACACAAGCAAACUCUAAAGCUACGUGUGACCAAGAUGCCACCACUCUGCUAUACACCUGUAUUUUCUUUCCUGAGGGUCAUUGCUGACCCUCCAAAAAUGUUUCUGAAUUUACAGCUGGAAUUCCAGCAACCUCGCUGACAAGGUGUCCCUUAACAACGCUGCCAAACAACAACUGGAGAGCAUAUCUUCCUCUUAGAACAGAGUAUUUCUUGCAAUCAAUGACAGGAGAAGGAAUACAGAAUGCACGCGAGUCAUACAGUUUAGGUGACCCACGUUUCCCCGCUCAUUGCCUUGAGUGGUAAUGAAAGAGCUGUAAAAUAUAUGACCAGCAAAACUACACAGCUUCAUACAACAGGCCCACCAUAGACCAGAAUACUGACAAACCCCACUAUCAAUAGUCACACUAGAGGAAGUGGCUGUCCUACGAAAAGGAAGGUCCCCAAGACAGUGUUCCAAUGAAAUUUCAGUCACUUGUCUCCCUUGUAUGACUACAGCCUCCACUCCCUGCCAACCCCUCCCCACUCCCAAUCAGGCUCUCUUACAAAUUCCUGACACAAAACAGGGUAGUAACAGCAAAGACUGCCCAGGAUACACGCAAGUUACCUUGUCCUCCAUGUACACAGCAUGACAAUUUGCUUUCCUACAGGCAAAACUGCAUUCUAUUUCACAGCAGGCUACAUUACAAAGCACCACCUAAAAACCCAGCAAACUGUAAACCAAAAGGAGUUCUAGAGAUUCCAUCUACAGCGGGAUCUGAGAAUUAGAGCCUUCUAGGGCUUACUUAAGUAACAGAUUCAUCAGCAAUACCACCCAAAGGAUUUUCACAUCUUUAAAUGCUUUCUUUUUGACUGUGAGGAUGGGGUGCUAUCCAGAUGUUCAGCCCUCUCUGUAUUGUAACAUCCACCUGUGAUGCGCGGGGACAGCAAUCAGCUCUUGGUACACAACAGAUACCAGAGGUUAAAAAAAAUUAAAAAGAACCUAAAAAAUGUUUUAUUGGACUCCGUUGCCCAGGCUGCCAGGGGAAUGCUCCUACUUGAUCUGGGGGGCUUCCAUAACAAACAACUCAAGCUUCCAGAGUGUCGGUAACACACGCAAAUAGAUCGGUCUGAAGUGGCACUUUCACUUCUAGAGGUCUUCUGCACCUCACGACAGUUUGUAGGCAUGGAGCUCCAAUCCAACUAAAUCCCCAUUUGGAGGGAAGGCUGAGAUAAGGCUUGGGCCCCUGAAGUUCUGUCAUGCUCUCAUCCUCCCCCCAGGUCAGCUGGAAGGCAGACUUGGCAACGGAAGCUAGCAUCAUAAAAUGGUGCAGUAAUAGAAGUAACUGGACCAGGAAGAAGAGGCGUCUGCCCCGAUGAUGUCGUAGCCAUUGGCAGCAACUGGGGGGUGGGACUGGUCAUGCAGCCGUGUGUCAGGAGUAAUGAUUGUAGAGGGGAGGGGCAUGAAGAGUGCCAUUCUGGAAACAAUGCUGACGAGAGGCCAUGUACUCCGCGUAACUGAUUGUCACCUUCUCACUGCGGUACCUGUGGAAACAGCAUCAGAGUAAAACACGGAAAAAGAUCAUCUUUUGGAUCAUCCCCAACAAUGAUAAAUAAGGAGACACCCACUAACUUCAAUAGUUGCUUUGUUUUCCAUCACCUUAUGCAAUAGUCUGGAUAAACUGUCUUAUUUAGCUUUAGUGUGCCAAAAGUUGAGCCCUGCUCAAGAUGAUCAUAAUUAAGAGGACUCCUGAAGCGACAUACAGGAAACUAAAGAUCAACUUGUAUCAACAUCAGCACACUGAGAAAAGGAAGUCUGUUGUGAGAAGAGCAGAAGAAUCGACCUUUUGAUAAACUUGCAGUGUUCUGCUUCUUUUGACCUAAUGACUGCACUAAAAAAAUAGCAAGAGCUUUCUGAAAACACUGCCUUCAACCCUGCACAGACCGAACACGUUACGCUCUAUUCCAUAUCCAUUUACCUGCCUAACAUGUAGAAUUGGUGAUUUUCUUCUUUCAGCCUCUACCUAUCACCUGAUAGGAGCCUGAAGACAUACACCUGGCACUAGUAAGUGGAAUCAUCCACAAAACACCACAAAAUACAGCUUAAAGGCAACAAAUACAUCACCUUACCUGGUGAGUUUAAUUGUUUUCCUAAAGUCAUUGGUAAUCGGAGCCUUAAAGCCACCUUUCCUGAGUAAGGAGUCUAUGGUCUGGAUCUGAUCCCAGUCUAAUGAGAAAGAAAAAUGGGAUAUUUUUCAGUAUAGAAAUGAUGUCUGAAAAAGAGAGGAGAUGCAUUAAAAGACUGCUAGAGAAGCAAACAACUAAAGAAGAAACUCUGAACUUUAGAAAUACCGGUGCCAAACUGGACACACACGAUCUCACGCAUGCACACUGCCUGCAUAUUUGAACUGCAGUGGUCUACAAUAACAGGAAUCCCAUUUUUUCCAUACGACCUCUCUUCUUACAAAGGUCCGUGCCUUGCCUCUGUUGCAGAGAAGCCAGACUGUUUUAUCAUGUGCCACUCACUUUUAGCUCUUAAGACUUAAAGUAAGGUAAUACUUAGCUUUACACAGACAAAUUGGGAUCAGCCUGAUGCUCUAGUGAUAGCACAGUGCACUGCUAUGUGAGAGAUCAGAGUUAAAAUUCCUACCUUAGUCUUUUGCCCCAGAGCCAGGAGGAUGCGACCACUCCACUCUGCUAGGUGGAGGAAAGGAGGCAAUAUUUUGAGCAGUUACCAUGGUGACCGCUACUAUAUUUGAGUGGGAAGUGUGCUCCAGAGGGGCCCUGUUUCCUGCCCUCAUCUGGAGGAUGCUACUUUAGCAACAAUGAGGAGGAAAGGAACUCUCCUGUUGGUACUGUGCAGUCUGCAGUUAUCCUAGUUGGUGGAAGAAACAUAGAAGAGGAAAGACGCAAUGCUAAAUGAAGCUGCAAGUUCCAUAUUUUGAGAUCCUCUAUUUCUUAAGCCCUAAAACAUUUUUUUACACUAAGAUGAAACUGUGCACAGAUGUGGGAUGAGAGAAAGGCCAGAUGAAAACCCAACAGCAGCUGUAUCAGGUGUCAGUUAUCCAGAUUAAGUCUGGUGGAUCCAAGGCACCACUACAAGGAGAGCAUUGCAAUCCAAACCCAAAGUCCACGGAUCUACGUUACCCAAUUCUGUGACACAGAGUACUGGCAUGUUUAGCUGUCAUCUCAAACCCACCUUGUUCCUUAGCAACCUCAGGUAAAUACGUGGCUGUGCGUUUGACACCUUUCUCAUUGAUGAACUCUAUUCUGAUCCCAUGGAUCCCAACCUAUAGAUGGAAAUGAAUAGCCAAAUAAGAGGUGUUUGCUACCACUAA